rnacentral:lncRNA from 1 species
GGAGCAGAGGGCUGGAGGGUCUUUCUCCCUCCCACCUCGGUCUCUGCAGAAACAGCGGAGAGGGGCCUGUGUACAGAAGACAAGAGAAAAGACCCAGCCGGCCCAGCUGUUGCAAGAAAGGAUCCCAGUCCACCAGCAGCUGCAGCUUUUGCCACCUCAGCAACUACUAAAUAGACCAAUUAGUGCAGACUUCCUGCCAUUAUCGAACAUGGACUUGGACAUUAGUGCGCCACUAUUCAGCCAUAAUUUCGAGUCAGAAUGCGCUAAAAAAUUCACACACUGAAGCAUUCAAAUGUCCCUGAGCCACAUCUGUGUGUGUAUUUGUGCUUCUUCCCUGUGUGUUUCACCCACCCA